UACGAAGGGGGCUAGCGUUGCUCGGAAUCACUGGGCGUAAAGCGCACGUAGGCGGAUUGCUAAGUCAGGGGUGAAAUCCUGGAGCUCAACUCCAGAACUGCCCUUGAUACUGGCGGUCUCGAGUCCGGGAGAGGUGAGUGGAACUGCGAGUGUAGAGGUGAAAUUCGUAGAUAUUCGCAAGAACACCAGUGGCGAAGGCGGCUCACUGGCCCGGUACUGACGCUGAGGUGCGAAGGCGUGGGGAGCAAACAGG
rnacentral:rRNA from 1 species